rnacentral:lncRNA from 1 species
GGCAUUCCCAAACAACAGAACUUAAGAACAUUGAUCAUAACCAUAAGCGAGGAACACGUUCCAGAAGCAUGUCGCACCACAGAACAAAACGAAAUAUAAAGUAUCAUUUUACGAAAUAAACCACUAAAAUCAUUUCCCAAAAAACACACAUUAAAGUAACGAGAACAAGACAAUACAGAAAGAAUUAGACCUUUAUUGCUGCGUUUUCCAUAACGUAUACAAUUAGAGAAGCCUCUGAUACAAUGAACCAACAAGCGAGCUAAUGACCUGAACCUCGAACCGGCAACUGAGCUUCGAACAGAUAGCGACGACCUCAACGACUCGAUGACUGCAAACCUUUCACAUUCUGUCCCUAUUUCUCCUACUUUUUCGGCCAGUCAUGGUAGAAGCAGAUGUGAGAUGGUGGAACGGUAGCUGUGUGUGUGUGCACGCUCGUCGGUUUCAAUGACAAGUCGUCGGAGUUACGAGAUGAGGAAGAAGCAGUUGCUGGUCUGUUCAAGUUCGGCUGUCCUCAGUUGUGUCUAUAGGUCCCCUAUGUCUUUUUUUUCAAAUGAAGUAGAAAAGCCUGCUGGUUUCAGGGAUGGGGGGUUCGAAGAAGAAGGAGUUCAGACGGGGGCUCCUUUUUUUUGCACUGUUGCGGCGCUACUUCUUCACUUAAGAUUUUGUUCCCUACUUCAUGAAGAAGAAGAGAAUAGAAGCAGCGUAUCUCUCCCCCCAAAUCAUUGUGGCGGUCCC